rnacentral:rRNA from 1 species
AACGCGAAGAACCUUACCUGGCCUUGACAUCCAGAGAACUUAGCAGAGAUGCUUUGGUGCCUUCGGGAACUCUGAGACAGGUGCUGCAUGGCUGUCGUCAGCUCGUGUUGUGAAGUGUUGGGUUAAGUCCCGCAACGAGCGCAACCCUUAUCCUUUGUUGCCAGCGGUUCGGUCGGGAACUCAAAGGAGACUGCCGGUGAUAAACCGGAGGAAGGUGGGGAUGACGUCAAGUCAUCAUGGCCCUUACGGCCAGGGCUACACACGUGCUACAAUGGCGCAUACAAAGAGAAGCGACCUCGCGAGAGCAAGCGGACCUCAUAAAGUGCGUCGUAGUCCGGAUUGGAGUCUGCAACUCGACUCCAUGAAGUCGGAAUCGCUAGUAAUCGUAGAUCAGAAUGCUACGGUGAAUACGUUCCC